rnacentral:rRNA from 1 species
UACGUAGGGGGCAAGCGUUGUCCGGAAUCAUUGGGCGUAAAGAGCUCGUAGGUGGUUUGUUGCGUUGUUCGUGAAAACUCACAGCUCAACUGUGGGCGUGCGGGCGAUACGGGCAGACUGGAGUACUGCAGGGGAGACUGGAAUUCCUGGUGUAGCGGUGGAAUGCGCAGAUAUCAGGAGGAACACCGGUGGCGAAGGCGGGUCUCUGGGCAGUAACUGACGCUGAGGAGCGAAAGCGUGGGGAGCGAAGAGG